UAGGAGAGGAGAGGUAGGGCUGUGUAGCAAGGCAGUGUGGUUCCCUGCCACCCCAGAGAGGGACAAACCCCUCCCAAUACCAGAGUGGGCAGAGCCAGCGAGUCCCGCACUUGCCCCCGCAGAGGUCAAGGCGCAGGACAGGAAGUAUAAAAGCCUGACCUCAGAGCUCACUCAGAAACCAACUGCUGGAGAAGCCAGAUGCCUCCGGUCUACCUCCUGGUUGGGAGACCCUAGUGACCUAUGGCAGACCUGAGGACUGGCCUGACCUGCUGACGUCUGAUGCCGACCAGAGCCCGGAGGAGUUGCCCUGCCUGCCCCUCGCCAGUUACGCAGAGGACCCCAUGGUGCUCGACGCCCAUGAGGACACCAUCCGGACCCAGAGACUCCCACGGCCAGUCUAAUUCCCCAUCAACAACUGAAAGGAAGUAGCAAGGCUGUGUGGUUUCCUGCCACCCCGGAGAGGGACGAGCCCCGGCCAAACCCGUCUACAGGCUGGGAGAUGAACAUUGUCCUUCCCUGUGCCAGAAACUGUACUAUUGUUCCUCUAAACCCCUUCCAGUGUGUUCCUUGAGGCAGUUGCCAGUUGUGGAGGCCUUGUCACUGUGACUCCGUUUGAACUAUGCAGAUACAGAGUAUGGAGGGAGGCCUCUGAAAACAGAGUAUCUCUCCAUGAAUGGUUUUGGCCUUCCGUAUCUCCAGUGUCAGUGGAGUUUAAGUUUAGUCCUUGUGGUCUGUUUUAUGGAGAUGGAAAGAGAGACAAAUGCUGCCAUCCCAAUCCGUGACAGCUCUGUAUUGGAAUAAACUAAAUUUGAUCUCAUUCAUCCCCCUACUAUGGGUUGAUUCUUCCAAAUAUUGGAUUUCCAACAAGGAUCAUCUGUCUUCCUUGGAGGAUUGGAGACGUCUUUGCAGACAAGCUUGAUUUUCUUAUAGGUUGGGCCAACCUGCCAUUCAUAUGUAUGUGUCUCAUACAUCUCUCUCUGUUCCCUUGUACCUGCUGAAUCCUGAGAGGCAUCUUCCAUAGUUUCCACGGUGAGGAGGGAGAUCUGGAGUGGCAAAAAAGAUUGAUUAAAGGAAAGAAUCUGGUUCAAUGUCUUUCAUAUGAAAUUUCCAUUCAGUUUCUCUUCUUUCUCAUGUUGAUAGCACCAACAAUUUCUUCCUCAGAUGCUCGUGAGUAAGGGGUCCUAUACCCCUUAAAUUUGCCCAAUUUAUUCUGAGCUGAAGAACAAGAAUCAAACAGAGAUGACUUGGAAAAAACUCCAGACUAAAUGAAAAAGUGACACUAAUCCAUGGGGCCUGAUCUGGCAUAGUUUGAACACCCUACACUCCCACUGAUUUCAAUAGGAAUAAUGUAGGAUUGACUCCUAUAAGAAAUCUGAGGAAAAACCUUUGUCACCUGGAUAUUUAAUCUGUUUUAAACUAAUUAAACCAAUUCUACAUUUAUAUUGCAAAAGUAACAUCUGCUAUGAUUUCAAUUGCAGAAAGUAAAUAUUUCUGCAGCUGAAGAAAGGUUCAGCAAUAGAGAUGAUUGAAACAUUCACAUGUGUACUACAUAUUAGAAAUAUUAAUCUCAACAUAGAAACUGAUGUCAAGAGUAAGUUAAUUCUUGGAAUUUUAUUAGCACAGCCUGAAAGAGAGUCAAAACUUAUUUAAGAUGAUAUUUAUAUAACAGGUCCCACUGAAGUCAAUGGGAAUUCUGAGAUUAAUAUUGAAGAAAAGCAGAGUCAGGCCCUAAAGGGAAUCCUGUAGACCAUGUGGAAAUGCUUUCAGUGUCAUGAUACAUGUCAAGAGCUUUAAUCACUUUUGCUUGGGGAAUAAAUCUUAUCUGAUUCACAGAUUUUAUGACCGCAUUAAGCAAAGUCAGGGAAAACAGGUAGCACAAAUCUUUGCUUCUAAAUGACCUGUGAAAAAUCAUUUUAUGAAAUAAGGUGGAUUCUUCUAAUGCAGCUUUUUCAGGCUGGUGAAAUAAUGAGUCAUUUUAUCUGGAAACUGGACUUGUUGAUAUUUAUUUUAGCAGUCAUUCACAUCUAUUUCUUGGUAAUGCCUUAUUAGCAAGAUAGUUACCUUAAAGACUUUUUAUUUUGAGACUUGGCUUCACUAUACAUCAGUGGAAGCAAUCUUUGCAACUUUGGUCACAUAAUAGUUGUUCAUCUGCUUUAAAUCUGAUUCCUGGUAGGUUGUGCCCUUUUCCUAUUCUUGAAAGGUAUGUCAAUGCCUAAAAAUGGAGAUGAGCACCUAGUAGGAUUUACAUCAGCUCCUUUGCUGGUUAGACACCUAACUUGCACUCAUUGAGACAGAGGGAAAAAAGUGAGAAUGAGUCUAUAGCUUCGUGUUUAGGGCACUCAUCUGCUCUACUUAAUAUUUAUUUAUUAUACACAGUAGAACAGUUUCAAUAGGAGAGACUGAAAGAGCCCUACCCUAGAAUAUUUGUUACCCAAGUAAUUAGGACACUCUCCUUGCAGGGGUGAACCCCAAGUUUAAAUCCUUGUUCCACAUCAUGCAGUGAGGGGACCUGAACCUAGGGGUUUCACAGGCUAAUUGUGUGUUCUAACCAGUCAUCUGAAACUUAUAAGAAGGGCAUCUCCUCCAGCUGUUAGGCACACUCUGAGUACAUCUACCUGAUGGGUGCCCCAUAGGCAAGAUAGGCAGGGAUGCCUAGUUUGAGGAUCCCAUUGGGGCUUCAGUGUGUGUUAGGCUUCCAGGUGCUUCGAGUGAGGAGGCUGCACAUAUGUUUGCUGGCAGAUUUUUAGGUGCCAUGGGGAUUUCAAUGGCAGAAAUUCAGGCACCAUAGGAUUUUAGGUAGAGUUAGGCAGCAGCUGAGUGGGGUUUUUGGGGAUAUCAUUAUACUAUGGUGGCAGUUAGGUACCUAAGUCCUUUUGAGGCAGUAUCCUUAGGUGCCUAACUCACUUAGGUACUUUUGAAAAUCCCACUAAGCCAACUACAUAUUAAGUCCCUAAAUACCUGUAAAAUAUAGCCCUUGUUUUCUUCCCCUUUUGCAUUCCGGGAACUUUUCUUUGUUCACUGAAAUGUUCUGUAGAAUAUUUGUUAUGUUGUGCUGUUUUUGUCUCUGAUCCCAAUACCAGCUGGUUAGAAAAUUGACCAGGUGCACUCUCUACCAUCUCCUCUCUAACACUUAUUAAACAAGUGAGAAAAUAUAAUUGGGACAUUCUCUGUUUCUCGCUUCAUAAGGUUAUACAUCUUCUGGAAUAGUAAUGAGUGCAUUUUUAUAUGGUUGUUGUUUUAUCAUCAGACCAAUAAAAUAAUGUA